CCUACGGGGGGCAGCAGUAGGGAAUCUUCCACAAUGGACGAAAGUCUGAUGGAGCAACGCCGCGUGAGCGAUGAAGGCCUUCGGGUCGUAAAGCUCUGUUGUUAGGGAAGAACAAGUACCGUUCGAAUAGGGCGGUACCUUGACGGUACCUAACCAGAAAGCCACGGCUAACUACGUGCCAGCAGCCGCGGUAAUACGUAGGUGGCAAGCGUUGUCCGGAAUUAUUGGGCGUAAAGCGCGCGCAGGCGGUCCUUUAAGUCUGAUGUGAAAGCCCACGGCUCAACCGUGGAGGGUCAUUGGAAACUGGAGGACUUGAGUGCAGAAGAGAAGAGCGGAAUUCCACGUGUAGCGGUGAAAUGCGUAGAGAUGUGGAGGAACACCAGUGGCGAAGGCGGCUCUUUGGUCUGUAACUGACGCUGAGGCGCGAAAGCGUGGGGAG
rnacentral:rRNA from 1 species